rnacentral:rRNA from 1 species
GAUGAACGCUGGCGGCGUGCCUAAGGUAUGCAAGUCGACCGGAAACACUUCGGGUGUCGAGGGGCGGACGGCUGAGUAACACGUAGGAAUGUACCCCAGACUGAGGGAUAAGCACCGGAAACGGUGUCUAAUACCGCAUAACCUCUUCGGAGAAAAGCUUCGGCGGUUUGGGAACAGCCUGCGCAUGAUUAGCUUGUUGGUGAGGUAAUGGCUCACCAAGGCGAUGAUCAUUAGCUGGUCUGAGAGGAUGAUCAGCCACACUGGGACUGAGACACGGCCCAGACUCCUACGGGAGGCAGCAGUGGGGAAUAUUGGACAAUGGGCGAAAGCCUGAUCCAGCAAUGCCGCGUGAGUGAUGAAGGCCUUAGGGUUGUAAAGCUCUUUUACCCGGGAUGAUAAUGACAGUACCGGGAGAAUAAGCUCCGGCUAACUCCGUGCCAGCCGCCGCAGUAA